rnacentral:rRNA from 1 species
AGAAUCAACGCUGGCGGCGUGCCUAACACAUGCAAGUCGCACGAGAAAGGGGAGCAAUCCCUGAGUAAAGUGGCGCACGGGUGAGUAACACGUGAAUGAUCUACCUCCGAGUGGGGAAUAACUGAGAGAAAUCUUAGCUAAUACCGCAUAACACUUACGAGUCAAAGCAGCAAUGCGCUUGGAGAGGAGUUCGCGGCCGAUUAGCUAGUUGGCGGGGUAAUGGCCACCAAGGCGAUGAUCGGUAUCCGGCCUGAGAGGGCGCGACGGACGACGACUGGAACUGAAACACGGUCCAGACUCCUACGGGAGGCAGCAGUGGGGAAUUUUGCGCAAUGGGGGAAACCCUGACGCAGCAACGCCGCGUGGAGGAUGAAGCCCCUUGGGGUGUAAACUCCUUUCGAUCGGGAAGAUAAUGACGGUACCGAUAUAAGAAGCCCCGGCUAACUUCGUGCCAGCAGCCGC